rnacentral:lncRNA from 1 species
UGAGACAGCCCAGCUAAGGUGUUUGUGGUCUGUGACUCAAUUCCUGUCAGAGAGACACGGAAGAGAAAAAUACUUUCUUGUCUUCGCUUGUCACGGACUUGGUUCUGCCAUCAGAGGCAGACGGAUCUAUUGAUAAAUCAGCAAUAUGGCAUCGAACUUCAUUCCCCUUUAUAUCCUGGGUGUGGUACUGAUCCUCUACAUAGUCAAAGCAGACGAGUAUAAUAAAACAGGGCUCGACGACAACGAUGGCAGUGACCCCAUCCCCACUACCACCCUUACUGCCACUCCUGCUACCCCCUCAGCCGCUCAGAACAAUCCUACAGUUACUACCUUGGUCCAGCCAGACUACCGUGACUCUAACCUUACCAACAACAUCACCGUCGGCAGUAGAGAUGGCAACCAAACCCAAGACCAGAACCAGAACCAAGACCAGAACGAAGAUGUGGGUGUUGGAACCUCGCGGGACGACGUGACAACGGUUGCCGCGGAAACCACGCCGUCGGGGGCGACCAACGGCCGAUCUGAGGAAGUGCAACUUGACGGUACCGUGUCGAAUGACGCGAUUACAACAUCAUCACCAGGCUAUGUAAUCCUGUUCCUCAUAUUGUUAGUCAUUGUCUGUCUGGUGGUGGUUCUCUAUUUCCAGAGGAAGAAGUCCAGGAAGUAUUCGUUUGACCUUGCGGGUAACGAUCACGACACCCCCCUCACCUGCGUGGAACAAGCCGGAACCUUCGAACCCAACGAGAAAGCCGGAGGUUUUGACUACGUGAUAGAGAGCGGUGGUGAUGACCACCAGGCUAUGGGCCCUGUGGCCAAUGGCUCAGCUGGGGAGGCGAGGUCCGCUGGAGAGAACGGAGAGAAGCAGGGUCAUGGUGAUAGUGAUGGAGACAGCUUCGACAACUUCUGUGGCCAUGCGAUCACGCUGACUCCGACCGUAAAGAGGGUGGGCUUUAGCCUGGACAUGAGUGACAGGCAGUCGGACAAAUCAGACAACGGGGAGCAGAAUGGGAACAACAACAACGUUGCCGUGGGGAUGACCCCUGAGCCGCCGGGCCUGACCUUUGACCCUGUAGGUCCAGGUGACGUCUUCACUGAAAUCAGCCUGGAUAUAUAGAAGACGCACACACAUUGUUGUAAAAUUGUAAUGUUCUGUUGUGGUUGAUUUAUAGAUGAAUGUAAAAAGCUUCAAAUAACUUUUACAUCCCUAUUUUUUAUGCUGUAAAUUUUUGAUACCGUAAAUUUUUGAUACUGUAAGUUUUUGAUACCGUAAAUUUUUGAUACCGUAAAUUUUUGAUACUGUAAGUUUUUGAUACCGUAAGUUUUUGAUACCGUAAAUUUUUGAUACUGUAAGUUUUUGAUUCCGUACAUUUUUGAUACCGUAAAUUUUUGAUACUGUAAGUUUUUGAUACCGUAAAUUUUUGAUACCGUAAAUUUUUGAUACUGUAAGUUUUUGAUACCGUAAAUUUUUGAUACCGUAAGUUUUUGAUUCCGUAAAUUUUUUUCGUAUUUCAAGAUAAAAAACGAAUGUUUAUAGUUUUUUUGUUAUUCAUUUUAAUAAUGUCUUACGCAUUGAUAAUAAUCGCAGGAGACGCCAAGUCACACGGCGAUUGUUUUUAGAAUAAAACAUACUUCACAGAAUUCUAGGUGUUGUGUCUUGAUGUGAUGUGUUUGGGAAAUGUGUGGUAAAGUAAUCUGUGGAGGG